rnacentral:rRNA from 1 species
UCCGUAGGUGAACCUGCGGAAGGAUCAUUAAUGAGUUUGCGCGGCCGUUGCUGGUUUUUACAAGUGCACGCCGCGUCUUUCUUAAUCCACCCCUUUGUGCAUCCGGGCGCGUCUUUUAGACGUGGUCCCAACCUUUAUACUAUAAAACCGUCUUGUACGAGUAGAACGUGCCGAAACAAACUAAUACAACUAUCAACAACGGAUCUCUUGGCAUCCCACUCGAUGAAGAACGCAGCGAAUUGCGAUAAGUAAUGUGAAUUGCAGAAUUCAGUGAAUCAUCGAAUCUUUGAACGCACCUUGCACCCUUUGGUAUUCCGAAGGGUAUGCCCGGUUGAGUAUUAUGAUCAACUCAAACCUCUGGUUUUCUGAUUGCAAAGGUGUAAUGACCGACGAAGCCAUCCACACGGGGUGGCGGUAGUUGGAGUUUCACUUGGAGCAUCGGAGGUGUUGGACUUGAGCGCACGUUGGUUUGACUUUCGAAUCAACCCGCUUGAAAUGAAUUAGCCGACAACCGCCUUUACACGGUUUUACUCGACGUAAUAAGUCUAUUCGUUGAGUGGCGUGGAAUGGGGGGCUCCAAGGUCGGCUCUAAUCGGUCUUAGGGACACUCUGGUUGGAACCUUUAAU